rnacentral:tRNA from 1 species
GCCGUGAUCGUAUAGUGGUUAGUACCUUGCGUUGUGGCCGCAUUACCCAGGUUCGAAUCCUUGUCACGGCA